rnacentral:rRNA from 1 species
UACGGAGGGUGCAAGCGUUAUCCGGAUUCACUGGGUUUAAAGGGUGCGUAGGCGGGCUUAUAAGUCAGUGGUGAAAGCCCGGAGCUUAACUUCGGAACUGCCAUUGGUACUGUAAGUCUUGAGUACACUUGAGGUGGGCGGAAUACAUCAUGUAGUGGUGAAAUACUUAGAUAUGAUGUAGAACACCGAUUGCGAAGGCAGCUCACUAAAUUGUAACUGACGCUGAGGCACGAAAGCGUGGGGAUCAAACAGG